rnacentral:lncRNA from 1 species
UCUUUCCUUCCCCUUUUGCUAGAAGUGCUGGAACAAAAAGUAACAGUGCUUUAAAACUGUGGGAGACUUCAUAACAUCAGAAAUAGGAAACUAAACUUUGAGGCUUUGCUGAGGCUGCAGAAACACUGCACAGCAUUAGAGAAGAUAGAGAAUAUAGUCCAUGACCUGAAGGCAGAACUGACGCUAAACCUUCUCUGCUUUUCUUUGACUCUGGCUUGGCUUGGUCUCAAUUGGAAAAUAUAGGGAUGGAUCCUGUACUAGGGCUUGUCUUUGGAGGGAAUCACUUUACAUAUAAAUCAAGGGGGGGAAAAGACCCUAAGGAACAAGGAAAAGAGAGUUCUCAUCAUGUCCUUCACUCCUAAUUCCUGUUUCAGGCCUUUCUUUUUCUCAACCCUUCCUUUAAAAAAGAGAGACAACCAAGUGGAAAGAGAAGGAGAAAAUAUCCUAAACCCUAUGUGAAAAAUUGUAAGUU